rnacentral:tRNA from 1 species
CGGCUGACGAGGCGCGCCGGCGCUCGUACGCUGACGCCGUGCGCGACGGCGAGGAGGCGGUGGCGGCGAUCGCGGCCCCGACGGUCGC